GGAUGCCAUCAUACCAGCACUAAAGCACC
rnacentral:rRNA from 1 species